rnacentral:rRNA from 1 species
ACUGCUUUUUGUACGGAACGAAACGGUUCUCUCUAAUACAGGGGGGGCUAAUGACGGUACCGUAAGAAUAAGCACCGGCUAACUACGUGCCAGCAGCCGCGGUAAUACGUAGGGUGCAAGCGUUAAUCGGAAUUACUGGGCGUAAAGCGUGCGCAGGCGGUUUUGUAAGACAGAGGUGAAAUCCCCGGGCUCAACCUGGGAACUGCCUUUGUGACUGCAAGGCUGGAGUACGGCAGAGGGGGGAUGGAAUUCCGCGUGUAGCAGUGAAAUGCGUAGAUAUGCGGAGGAACACCGAUGGCGAAGGCAAUCCCCUGGGCCUGUACUGACGCUCAUGCACGAAAGCGUGGGGAGCAAACAGGAUUAGAUACCCUGGUAGUCCACGCCCUAAACGAUGUCAACUGGUUGUUGGGUCUUCACUGACUCAGUAACGAAG